AGCAGCCGCGGUAAUUCCAGCUCCAAUAGCGUAUAUUAAAGUUGUUGCAGUUAAAAAGCUCGUAGUUGAAUUUCGGGGUCAGUAGGUUGGUCGUGCCACUGGUAUGCACUGGUCUCACUGAUUCCUCCUUCCUGAUGAACCGUAAUGCCAUUAAUUUGGUGUUGCGGGGAAUCUGGACUGUUACUUUGAAAAAUUAGAGUGUUUAAAGCAGGCUAACGCUUGAAUACAUUAGCAUGGAAUAAUGAAAUAGGACGAUCGAUCCUAUUUUGUUGGUUUCUAGGAUUGACGUAAUGAUUAAUAGGGAUAGUUGGGGGCAUUAGUAUUCAAUUGUCAGAGGUGAAAUUCUUGGAUUUAUUGAAGACUAACUACUGCGAGAGCAUUUGCCAAGGAUGUUUUCAUUAAUCAAGAACGAAAGUUAGGGGAUCGAAGACGAUCGGAUACCGUCGUAGUCUUAACCAUAAACUAUGCCGACU
rnacentral:rRNA from 1 species